GAGCGCGGUCGAUGAGCUCGAUGCAGAGGGCAGCACGGUUUCGCUGCGGGGGGCUCCUCUAUUCCCCCGCAUCCUUUUCAUCGCCCCGUCUGCUUGCGCACUCUGUAGAAUCGCGCCGCGCGUUCACUAAUGCGUCAUGCCGCCUUCGAAGCUGACGCGCCGCUUUUUACUGCGGCGCAAUACUUCGCGCGCGCCAUGUGAACUUCUGUGUUGACUUAAAAACCAAACGCACACUUAAUUGUCUUUCGCAAAGCGACUUCCUGGAAACUUUGAUUAACAUUCAGUAUGAGUAAAGUGACUGGUGCGUUCAACAAGAGGCUGGAGACACUGCAUCAAGGUGAAAACACGUGCUCGCGUCUUGUCCCGAAACAAUGGAGAUAUGACGGAUCAAGUCUUCGUAUUGAAAGUUCAGAGAAGCGAAACUAGGAAUGGCAUUUCUGGAAUAAUGCAUAUCGUGGCACGAUAGCAUUUUCACAGUCAUGGACGAAGCCUGACCAAAAACAGAAUCCACGUGGUGGAACCGAAGUGUGACUGCUUCAAACCAGCGCACUCUCUUCUCUCUUUCUCUCUCCGCUGCUGUACGUCACACCUAAGGAAAAUAACUUGAUAGGUCUCCGAUUGGCGGCUAGUAUAAUAACGACAAAUAAUGCCUAAAAACACGUUGUUGGUUUCAAUAAAUAAAGUUCAUUAAAUUUA